rnacentral:lncRNA from 1 species
UUGUAGAAAUGACUGAAGAAUUAGGGUUUGAAGAUAUCUUUCUACUUGUUAUAAUGGUCUGUCCUCUCAAAAUUUUGGGUAUCUUUCAUAUUCUGGUUUCUGGAGCUUAACUAAGGUACUUGUUUAUUUUUGUUUACUUUUUAUGAUGUUUUAAUUGAACAUUUUUUCAAUAUCUUUUAUGACUGAAUUGAAUGGGAAUGCAAUUUAUUUAUAUCCAUGGAGAAGAGCUAAGACUACUCAUCAUCACUUCAUUCCUUUCAUUGAUUGGGAACAGUUCUACCAUCUUUGUGGGACGAUUAAUGGAAUGGAGUAUGACGAUUUAUUUCCUUUACUCUCAAAGGAGGAAGGCAUGCCAUUCUACAUGAAGCGCACAGCUUGAGCUACAAUCUAGGAUAAAUGCUUUAAUUUCACCCUAGCUAGUGAUAACAUUAGUUGACCACUUUUAAUAUAAUUGGUUUUGUGGCCUGCUGCCAGGGGAACAGCCCUGGAAGUCAAGUGAUGCGACAAACUAUAACAACAAACAUGGUUUCAAAGAAGAAGAUGGGACCAGUGCAUUGACAACAGUUGGUGAAUUGCCAAAUGACUAAAGAUAGAAGAGAAUGUAGGGAAAUUCAGGAACAAGUCAAUGCGCAAAGAAGCGGUCAAGGGGGGUUGCAAAGGCACAUCUUCGCUAGCCAGCUGUUUUUUUCAUGAGGUAUGCUCGGAUAUUUGAGCAUUUUAUUUUAAAAAGCUGUUUGCAUUCUGUGAAUGUGCUUUAUUGAAAACAACUACUGUAUUAGCUUAUCUGUUUAUGUGAGGGCAUUGCGUUCUUUUAAGUUUUAAAUCUGUGUUUUGCAAUGGAAAAUAUUAUGACUGUUGUUUGUUUGAUAGUUUUAAGAAGUUUGUGAUGAUAAUUAAAAUGGAAAUAAAGAAACUUUUCCGUGUGAAUGAAUAAUUGAGUUGUUGUUGUUGGUUGCCAAAAUUUGAUUAAAAUGUCAAUGAAUGCAUAUUUAAAUGUUUCGUACUAAAUGAUAUGGGUUAAGUUGAAGUUAUUAUUUACGAAUGCUACUGCAAUCUGCCAUGUUCCAAAAUCUGUCCAUGAGUUAGAACUCAAGCCUUGAUGAGUGGGGAUAAGGGAAUUUGCCUCAACAGUCGCAACACCUCUUGAAUACAUAUAGGAAAAUUCCCUUAUCCCCCACUCUUACAGGAAGCUGUUACACAGAGUAGAAUCCUGCAGCACAACAUUAUCCAACAAGACUGCAGUCUGCAGUUCUCUGAAACCUGACAAGGGAAACUACCAUCACUGAAACUUGGAUGCUAGUCUGACCAUUAGAGAAUGUACACUCAUCAAUAGAGAAUGUUAGACGCAACUAGGAAAUCAUGAAAUCAGCAUGUAGCUUAAUGGCAUAAUAACAUAUAUUGAUUAAAUUUGGAAAGGGGUAAGAAGAUGGUUAAACGAUGCCCAUUACACCAAUUAUUUUUAUAUUCAACCUUUUGUUGUGAAUGAAUAACUGAGUUAGUUGAUUGUAGUAGCUGCUAGUCCAGAUUGGUUUAUUAUAUUUCAUUUCCAUUCCACAGGGUUAGCUUUGAUGAUCUGUCCUCUCAUCGGAGACUGGCUCCCUUGUUAGCCAAAGUUCUUAAGAGAUUUGCGUGAUACCAGUUAUGAAGUUAAAUUGAGUUGGAAGCUUGCUAUGGUGUGUGAAAGAUAAAGAGUACAGUAUCCAGUAUAUCUUUUCUGCUCGUUGAAGGAUGUAACCACAUAAAUUGGAUGCUGAGAAAAUUAUGUAUGUGUUUGUUUAUGAUGUAAAAUUUUCCAAUGUUUUUCGCUAUACUGGAUGUUGUGGUUACCAGUUUUGAUUAAACUGACAAUGAAUGCAUAUUUAACUGUUUCAUACAAAUCAAUUCUUUAUCACAUUAGAAUACAAAGACUGUUUAGAAGGCCAAAGAAAGGUGCCAUUAACUAAAAUGAAGUUUUCGAGUUCGA